GACCUGCUCCGCGCACGUGCACGUGAGCUCGCUAGGGCUCGUAGGUGGGACACCGGGGCACUCGUUCAGCCGUGUCUUAGAAUAGCUCGACCGUCAUUAUAAAAGAGCCCCAGUGCACGAGGCGAACCAGAAACGGCUGAAUCAGCAGGAGGAAGGUGGGCGGCCUACGUGAUGGGCGACCAACCGCGCACCUUCGGGAAGGCAGGAGGAACCUCGUACAGCUGCCUCUACAGCAGUCCCGUGACGUUACGCUUUCACGUGCCAGAUCCGAGCGCAAAGGCCGACCUGAGGACGACAGAAGUAACGCUGCUUGUGUUGGUCGACCUGUCUGUGCUGAAUUUAAAAUGACAUUCUAAUUUGCAGCACUUAUGGUUAACUUUAUUACAAAUGCAAACAUUUAAAUGUUUGUUUUCUUUAAGCUAAACAAGCAAAAUCUGCACUCUAAACUUUAGAUUAUAACCAUCCCAGUGAAAUAAAUUCUCCACAUAUGAUACUCAAAUUCAUAGCUGAAGUCGUAAUUGGAUGAAUCACAUAAAUACAAAUUGUGCUUAUUCUGUCAUUUUUAAUUGGCAAGUUAAAAUGUUAAAAGUACAAAAGCAUUCAGAUUUUUUUUUUUUUAAAAAAAAGCUUAAUAGUAAAUUUAUGUUGGUAGCCUUGUGUCAAUAUUGAUUUGUGUUUCUCUAAAAGGGGAAUUUUUUAAAUGUAAAAUGUAACAUUUCUGAUGCUCACAGAAAUGAAUACCACAACAUUUUCUAAUUAGGGAAGUAAUCUGUACACUAUAAUUCACUGGUGCGUUUUUCAUGAAUCGUUCAUCAUAUCAAUUAUUUUUUUCCAUGGCAUAGUUUACAUACAUGUAUUCCUCCCUCGUCUCCUAUUUGAUAUUGAUGGUCCUUCUGAGUCCUUAUAGAAAGAAAGGCCCCAGUGACAUCCGAUGGUUCUGCAGAUGACGAGGAACUUCCCUGUGACACGCUUAUUCAUUUUACUCACAUUCUUUUGAGUCAUUAGAAGAACAGAUUCUACGGUAUUCUACUUAUAUUUGAUAAUAUUAAUAAAAAGUAUAACAAUUGUUCGCCAUAAAAAUGACUGUGUUAAGUUUAAAAUUUCAGGGCUGCUUUUUAUUCAGUCAUCAUUAAAAAAAGCUGUGUGUGUCUAUAAUAAUGGCUGGUUUUUAGAUCACUAACACUGUUACUUUAUUUUUGUAUAAUGAAAUUUUGUUUCUACAAAUUGGUGUAUAAUUAUGAAUUGAUGUCUCUUCAUUUUGAUCUGUUUGAACUUGCAAAUACAAAACAAACAUAUUCAUUGUCAAAGUCUACACUACUUUCUUUACUGAAUGCAUUAAUAUUUGAGUGUAGUGUGAUGUAUAUGCAGUGAUACUUAAAGUAAUGCAGAAUUUAAUUGUUCAUGUUGAGCAUUUCCAUAAAAGAAGUAAUUGUUGGUUAAAUAAGUAGAAGAGAAUUAAAAAAUAUUACAAAAAUGCGUAUUAUUGCUUAAUUUUAUUAUUCUGUGAAAAUAGAAGAUUGGUUUUCUAUGUGUUUUUAUACUAUCCUUCUUUACUGAGUUUGUAGAACUGUGCCCUAAAGACGUGACCCUGCAGUCGGUUCCGUUUUUGAACUAUAAAGAAAUAGUUAAAAGCGGAGAGGCUGGAAAAUCGUCUUUCUCCAAGUGAGUAACCCCUGGUGGUUGCUUCUCCGAGCCGAAAUGAAAGCCCUGCUAAUUAGAAAUGUUAAAAAUAGUUAUGUAGUGUGGUGGAUACAAGCCUCGGAGAGGGAUGCAACCGAGGCUGACACAAUUUGCUCUCAUGUGACCAGCCACGUUGCAUCUGGCACUGAUGGACAGUUGUGUUCCUCUUUACAGCUGGAGCAUGGUGCCCAGCUGCUCAAUACAUUUACGAAGAAGGAGUGGUAGACAUCCCAGGCCCAGAAAGUAAAUAUCCAGACCAAGAUUUUGUUUCAAACAGCCAGGUGAGUAUAAAGAGACACUCAAAGUACUGAACUGGUUGGUUGAAACGAAGUCCUGGUUUGAGUUUUUACUUUCUGGACCUGAAAUGUCCACCUCUCCAUAAUAUCAUUGUUUCACAUUAACUGUAAGACAGACUAUUAAAGGGGCUCACUUCUCUCUAAUUUACUUUUGAAAUCUAUCAUCUGACAUUUUUAUCUGUGCGGUGUUUUCAAAAUACGUAAAACUGUUAACAAUUGAUUCUUCAUUAAUUAACUAGUCCCUUUAUACGUUAAUCAUUAUUCAUUCAGUAAUAAGCUUUUUUUUUCAGCUGGUGUCAGGGUCCCAGUCGAGUCCAAGCCCGGAUCCUGGAUCCAGCUUGGGCCUUCUACAGAACCAUUUACCCUUCUCCAAUCAUCCUCACUUGUUUAAGUCCACCUGCGCUGCACUUCCUGUUUGAGCACCUUCCUGUUUGAAAUACCAGUUGCUUAUCUGUUCAUUAUGAGGUGUUGUGGGUUCUACUUUGUAUUGAGUGGCUCUCAUUGUUACUAUGGAGAAUUUAUCCUCCAUUCACUGACCUACUGCCUGUAACUCAUUACCUGUCUUUUUGGCUACGAGUAUGGAUUCUGUUUCCCUGUUUUGGUUAAUAAAUAAUAAAAAAGCA